GAUGAAGAACGUAGCGAAAUGCGAUAAGUAAUGUGAAUUGCAGAAUUCAGUGAAUCAUCGAAUCUUUGAACGCACAUUGCGCCCGCCAGUAUUCUGGCGGGCAUGCCUGUUCGAGCGUCAUUACAACCCUCAAGCCCCCCGGCUUGGUGUUGGGGACCGGCCACCGGUGCCCUGCUGCUUCCGCAGCAGGCGCGCCCGGCCGCCCCCGAAAUGAAUUGGCGGCCCCGUCGCGGCCUCCCUCUGCGUAGUAGCACACAUCUCGCAGCUGGAGCGCGGCGCGGCCACUGCCGUAAAACGCACCAACUUUUUUUUACAGUUGACCUCGAAUCAGGUAGGAAUACCCGCUGAACUUAAGCAUAUCAAUAAGCGGAGGA
rnacentral:misc_RNA from 1 species